UACAGAGGGUGCGAGCGUUAAUCGGAAUUACUGGGCGUAAAGGGUGCGUAGGUGGUUUAGUAAGUUAGAUGUGAGAUUCCCGGGCUUAACCUGGGGACUGCGUCUGAUACUGCGAAGCUAGAGUACUGUAGAGGGAAGUGGAAUUUCCGGUGUAGCAGUGAAAUGCGUAGAUAUCGGAAGGAACAUCAGUGGCGAAGGCGACUUCCUGGACAGAUACUGACACUGAGGCACGAAAGCGUGGGGAGCAAACAGG
rnacentral:rRNA from 1 species